rnacentral:rRNA from 1 species
AGUCGAGCGAAUGGAUUAAGAGCUUGCUCUUAUGAAGUUAGCGGCGGACGGGUGAGUAACACGUGGGUAACCUACCCAUAAGACUGGGAUAACUCCGGGAAACCGGGGCUAAUACCGGAUAAUAUUUUGAACUGCAUAGUUCGAAAUUGAAAGGCGGCUUCGGCUGUCACUUAUGGAUGGACCCGCGUCGCAUUAGCUAGUUGGUGAGGUAACGGCUCACCAAGGCGACGAUGCGUAGCCGACCUGAGAGGGUGAUCGGCCACACUGGGACUGAGACACGGCCCAGACUCCUACGGGAGGCAGCAGUAGGGAAUCUUCCGCAAUGGACGAAAGUCUGACGGAGCAACGCCGCGUGAGUGAUGAAGGCUUUCGGGUCGUAAAACUCUGUUGUUAGGGAAGAACAAGUGCUAGUUGAAUAAGCUGGCACCUUGACGGUACCUAACCAGAAAGCCACGGCUAACUACGUGCCAGCAGCCGCGGUAAUACGUAGGUGGCAAGCGUUAUCCGGAAUUAUUGGGCGUAAAGCGCGCGCAGGUGGUUUCUUAAGUCUGAUGUGAAAGCCCACGGCUCAACCGUGGAGGGUCAUUGGAAACUGGGAGACUUGAGUGCAGAAGAGGAAAGUGGAAUUCCAUGUGUAGCGGUGAAAUGCGUAGAGAUAUGGAGGAAC